AUCUUUUCUGCCAGCUUCUCUUCGUGUCUCCCAUAAAGUCGACUUCAACAGGACUGGGCAAUUUUGAAAGGACCUUGGAGACUCACCAGUAAGAUGAUGACAGGCAGAUCUUCCACUGUCUGCUCUUUCAGGUUCUGGAAACUGACCCGUGAUCUCAGGUCUUUGGGCAGCAGCACUAUCUCGAACUUACACAGCUUCCUGAAGAAAAGAACUAAGAAAAGCUCCACAGUGGGUGACAGCCCCUCCAUCACACUGAACCACCCACAGGAUUCUGCCCAGUUUCCUUGGAUCCACCAGCCACAACAAGCCUCUUGGUACCCACCAACAUUCCACCUGGAUUCCAAAUGACGUCGGGAUUCUUGGACCCGUUCUUGGAGCAUGGAAUUGAGUAACUUCUUCAAGGGCAUGUUGACACUCCGUAUAUUUCUGCCAGUAUCAGCGAGGUUCAAUAUGUGUCAUGAAUGUCUUUCAAGCCUGAUAUUCUCUACAGAUGUCUCCAUGCCAGUAUUCUCCAUUGUAGCAGAACAAGUCUCAUCAAUGUGUUGGCAUCUCUCCUCAAUCCGUGCUGCCAGCUUUUCUGACAUCUUUUCUCCGUGUCUCCCAUAAAGUCGACUUCAACAGGACUGGGCAGUUCUGAAAGGACUUCGGACCCUCACCAGUAAGCUGAUGACAGGCAAAUCAUGCACUGUCUGCCCUUUCAGGUUCUGGAAACUAACCCGUGAUACCAGGUUUUUGGGCAACAGCAUUAUCUCGAACUUACACAGCUUCCUGAACAAAAGAACUAAGACAAGCUCCACAGAGGGCAGCAUCCCCUCCAUCAAACUGAUCCACCCACAGAAUUCUGCCCAGUUACCUUGGAUCCACCAGGCACAAGAAGCCUCGCGGUACCCACCAACAUUCCACCUGGAAUCCAAAAGACGUCAGGAAUCUUGGACCCGUUCUUGGAGCAGAGAACUGAGUACCUUCCUCAAUUGCACAUAGGUGUUCCACAGGUUUCUGCCAUUAUCAGCGAGGCUCAAUAUAUCUCGUGAUUGUCUUUCUUGCCUGGGAUCCUCUGCAGAAGUCUCCAUGCCAGUAUUCUCCAUUGUAGGAGAACAACCAUCAUCAAUGUGUUCGCAUCUCUCCUCAAUCCAUGCAGCCAAAUUUUCUGCCAGGUUCUCUUCGUGUCUCCCAUAAAGUCGACUUCUACAGGACUGGGCAUGUCUAAAAGUACCUCGGAGCCUCACCAGUAAGCUGAUGACAGGCAGAUCUUCCACUGUCUGACUUUUCAAUUUCUAGAAAUUGACCCAUGAUCUCAGGCCACUGGGCAGCAACAGUAUCUCGAACUUACAGAGCUUCCUAAACAAUAGACUUAAGCCAAGCUCCACAGAGUGUGGCAACCCCACCAUGACACUGAUCCACCCACCGAGCUCUGCCAAGUUACCUUGGGUCCACCAGCUCAUAACAAGCCUCGUGGAACAAACCAACAUUCCACCUGGAAUCUAACCAGUAACUGCCAUCCUCAAUUUUUGCUGCAUUUUUACAGUGUUGGUGAAGGGGCUGCAUCAGACGACAGGUACUUAAGGUUUUCUGAGGCAUCAUUCUGUCUUUGGAAGUAAGAGACCACUCUUUGUCAAGUGUCCUGGACCACGGGCUGGUUUCUAGAAAAUGACCCGUGAUCUCAGGCCAUUGGGCAGCAUCAGUAUCUCGAAAUAACAUAUCUUCCUGAAGAAUACACCUAAGCCAAGCUCCACAGAGGGCAGCAGCCCCUCCAUGACACUGAUUCACCCACAGAGCUCUGCCCAGAUACCUUGGAUCCACCAGCCUCAACAAGCCUCGUGGAACACACAACAAUUCCACCUGGAUUCAAACCGGUUUUCUGAGGCCUCAUUCUCUUUUGGAACUAAGGGACCACUCUUCAGCAUGUGUCCUGAACCAAGGGCUUCACGUCAGGAAUCUUGGACCACUUCUUGGAGCAGAGAAUUGAGUACCUUCCUCAAGUAAACGUUGACCCUCCACAGGAUUCUGCUAGUAUCAGUGAGGCUCAACAUGACUCAUGAAAGUCUUUCAAGCCUGGUAUUCUCUAAAGAAGUCUUCAUGCCAGUAUUCUCCAUUGUAGCAGAACAACUCUCAUCAAUGUGUUCGCACGUCUCCUCAAUCUGUGCAGCCAGGUUUUCUGCCAGCUUCUCUUCGUGUCUCCAUUAAAGUCGACUUCUACAGCACUGGGCAAGUCUGAAAGUACCUCACAGCCUCACCGGUAUGCUGAUGAUGGGCAGAUCUUCCACAGUCUGUCUUUUCAGUUUCUUGAAACUGACCCGUGAUCUCAGGUAGUGAAGGUCGCACAACAUUGUGAAUGCCCCUAAUGCUCCUGAAUUGCACAAUUUAAAAGAGGAAAUGUCUAUAUUUUAUUACAUGAAACUCUAAAAAAAAAAAAUGAUGCCAUAAAUGAUGAGAAA